GAGUUUGAUCGUGGCUCAGAACGAACGCUGGCGGCAGGCUUAACACAUGCAAGUCGAACGGGUGCAGCAAUGCAUCAGUGGCAGACGGGUGAGUAACACGUGGGAACCUUCCUCGGGGUACGGAACAACUCAGGGAAACUUGAGCUAAUACCGUAUACGUCCGUGAGGAGAAAGAUUUAUCGCCCUGAGACGGGCCCGCGUCGGAUUAGCUAGUUGGUGGGGUAACGGCCUACCAAGGCGACGAUCCGUAGCUGAUCUUAGAGGAUGAUCAGCCACACUGGGACUGAGACACGGCCCAGACUCCUACGGGAGGCAGCAGUGGGGAAUCUUGGACAAUGGGGGCAACCCUGAUCCAGCCAUGCCGCGUGAGUGAAGAAGGUCUUCGGAUUGUAAAGCUCUUUUGCCAGGGACGAUAAUGACGGUACCUGGAGAAUAAGCCCCGGCAAACUUCGUGCCAGCAGCCGCGGUAAG
rnacentral:rRNA from 1 species